UGAUUGAUGGCCAUGGCUUAUGUCUC
rnacentral:piRNA from 1 species